rnacentral:rRNA from 1 species
GGACGAACGCUGGCGGCAUGCCUAACACAUGCAAGUCGAACGGAGUAAUGACUUCGGUUAUUACUUAGUGGCGAACGGGUGAGUAACACGUGAAUAAUCUGCCCUGUACGAUGGGAUAACAGCUGGAAACGGCUGCUAAUACCGUAUAUGACCACGCCGAGGCAUCUCGGAGGGGUGAAAGCGCUUAAGCGGUACAGGAUGAGUUCGCGUCCAAUUAGCUAGUUGGUGAGGUAACGGCCCACCAAGGCGACGAUUGGUAGCCGACCUGAGAGGGUGACCGGCCACAUUGGGACUGAGACACGGCCCAAACUCCUACGGGAGGCAGCAGUGGGGAAUAUUGCACAAUGGGGGAAACCCUGAUGCAGCGACGCCCGCGUGAGUGAAGAAGUAUUUCGGUAUGUAAAGCUCUAUCAGCAGGGAAGAAGAUGACGGUACCUGCACAAGAAGCCCCGGCUAACUACGUGCCAGCAGCUGC